rnacentral:rRNA from 1 species
AAGCAUCAGGUAACAUCAAAUCGUACCCCAAACCGACACAGGUGGUCAGGUAGAGAAUACCAAGGCGCUUGAGAGAACUCGGGUGAAGGAACUAGGCAAAAUGGUGCCGUAACUUCGGGAGAAGGCACGCUGAUAUGUAGGUGAAGUCCCUCGCGGAUGGAGCUGAAAUCAGUCGAAGAUACCAGCUGGCUGCAACUGUUUAUUAAAAACACAGCACUGUGCAAACACGAAAGUGGACGUAUACGGUGUGACGCCUGCCCGGUGCCGGAAGGUUAAUUGAUGGGGUCAGCGCA